GACGAACGCUGGCGGCGUGCUUAACACAUGCAAGUCGAACGGAAAGGCCCUGCUUUUGUGGGGUGCUCGAGUGGCGAACGGGUGAGUAACACGUGAGUAACCUGCCCUUGACUUUGGGAUAACUUCAGGAAACUGGGGCUAAUACCGGAUAGGAGCUCCUGCUGCAUGGUGGGGGUUGGAAAGUUUCGGCGGUUGGGGAUGGACUCGCGGCUUAUCAGCUUGUUGGUGGGGUAGUGGCUUACCAAGGCUUUGACGGGUAGCCGGCCUGAGAGGGUGACCGGCCACAUUGGGACUGAGAUACGGCCCAGACUCCUACGGGAGGCAGCAGUGGGGAAUAUUGCACAAUGGGCGGAAGCCUGAUGCAGCAACGCCGCGUGCGGAAUGACGGCCUUCGAGUUGUAAACCGCUUUCGCCUGUGACAAAGCGUGAGUGACGGUAAUGGGUAAAGAAGCACCGGCUAACUACGUG
rnacentral:rRNA from 1 species